UUAAUUAGAGGAAGGUUGUAAAUAGAGGAGAGGCUGAUCGAACGCUCUAGAUCAACCUGGAGGUACCCAGCGCUCUCGAUCUUUCUCGGUGCCCGAUGACCCGCGACCAGGCCCGAACGUAUUCUCGCCGUCCGGCCACUUCACGACGGCACACCACCACCAAUGGCUUCCUCUCCUCGUCGCCGACGUCUCUCUGGGGUCAGGUCUUUCAACCGGCAGCUCUGGAGCGAGAAUCGACACCAUGAAGCCUCAUGUUUUCCGGCGAGUUUCUGCAAAUUCCGGUGACCGAUUGGGCUGCAUGUGUCUCGACGCUGCCACCAACACCGGUGACUUUUUCGACUUGUCUGGCCUUGGCUUCCGUCUUACUUGCAUGUGUGGAUGCGUAUUGACUCGGAUUGGAGCUAAAAUUUCAGAAUCUGUGAAUGGGUGGAAGUCGAGUUGGCAGUAUGUUUAUCGCCGGGUUCCGGGAAAGAGUUGAAUUAGAAGCUUGGGUUCUCACCUACAAGUCGCACUACUGAAGGACUCCAGUUACCCGAGGAACAAAAGGUUCGCGACUCUCGGAGUACGUGAGAGAAAGCAUCGGAAUCCAGGUAGGGAUUCAGGACUCUCCUCGGUUAGUGAUUUUCUUAUAUUGUUAUUAAUAGUUGGUAUGGUUUGGUUAUGUUCAAAUGUAAUGCAUACUAACCAAACCAUGUGAGAAAUGUGAUGGCUUGAGAGCGAAGGGUGGCUCUGACUUCCUUGGGUUCGAUCCCCAAAACCUCCGGAGGGUUAGUUACACCGGUCAGACGGUGAGCGAUUGCGAUGACGACCCGAUCCGUGUGUGUAGCUAGGUAGCGGACGCUCUCGCUACGCUUACCUGGUGAUAAAUUAAAUUGAGGUAAGGUCGUGUAGUGGGUCUAUGAGACCGGCCAUCAGGUAAAACUUGGAUUUGGCGCCGUAUUUAUUUAAGCAUCAUGCAUCAGUUUUCAAGUUGAAAAACAUUAAAGUUUGUCGUUCCUUUUAAAUAUUUGGUUUGAGAAAGUUUUCAUACUGGGAUCCCACAUAUAUAUAUUUACUGGUUUCAAACCUAGUCGUGGUAGAGUUCCUGUAGAGCAGCCAGGACGAAAGCUCACCCCUACAACAGUUUGGAUACAGGUACUGUGCACUGGUAAGGGGACAAUAGCGUACGGAGCUGGGUGUGCAGAACAAAUUCAGUAAAUUACCUUGCUAUUCUUUGAACUUCGUAUUCCGAGACUUGUGAACAGUCAAUUGUGUGUCAAAUCCAGUCACACUCUUGUUCUUUGAAGUUCGUACCAUCUGUGUGAACACUAAUUCCAAGUUUUAGACGAAUGAAACGAAUUUUCACCUCAAAAGUAUUUGUAGCUUCCGC